UACGUAGGGGCCUAGCGUUGUCCGGAUUUAUUGGGCGUAAAGAGCUCGUAGGCGGUUCGGCAAGUCAGCUGUGAAAUCUCCACGCUUAACGUGGAGGGGUCAGCUGAUACUGCCGUGACUCGAGUCCGGUAGGGGAGUGUGGAAUUCCCGGUGUAGCGGUGAAAUGCGCAGAUAUCGGGAGGAACACCAGUAGCGAAGGCGGCACUCUGGGCCGGUACUGACGCUGAGGAGCGAAAAGCGUGGGGAGCGAACAGG
rnacentral:rRNA from 1 species